AGCGCCGCUCUCGGCCUUUUGGCUAAGAUCAGGUGUAGUAUCUGUUCUUAUGAGUUUAAUAAAAAUAAAUAAAUAAAUAAAUGAAUGAAUACAUUCAGCGCCGCAAUUUCAAAAUCAGUUCAUGACAUGGAUGUGUCUUCAGCACUCUGACACAAAUUGAAGAAGAUGCUUUAAGGUUGAAUCUCC